UAACGGCCCAGCAAGGCAACGAUCAGUAGGGGUUCUGAGAGGAAGGUCCCCCACAUUGGAACUGAGACACGGUCCAAACUCCUACGGGAGGCAGCAGUGAGGAAUAUUGGUCAAUGGACGAGAGUCUGAACCAGCCAAGUAGCGUGCAGGAAGACGGCCCUAUGGGUUGUAAACUGCUUUUAUAAGGGAAUAAAGUGAGAGUCGUGACUCUUUUUGCAUGUACCUUAUGAAUAAGGACCGGCUAAUUCCGUGCCAGCAGCCGCGGUAAUACGGAAGGUCCGGGCGUUAUCCGGAUUUAUUGGGUUUAAAGGGAGCGUAGGCCGGAGAUUAAGCGUGUUGUGAAAUGUAGACGCUCAACGUCUGCACUGCAGCGCGAACUGGUUUCCUUGAGUACGCACAAAGUGGGCGGAAUUCGUGGUGUAGCGGUGAAAUGCUUAGAUAUCACGAAGAACUCCGAUUGCGAAGGCAGCUCACUGGAGCGCAACUGACGCUGAAGCUCGAAAGUGCGGGUAUCGAACAGGAUUAGAUACCCUGGUAGUCCGCACGGUAAACGAUGGAUGCCCGCUGUUGGUCUGAAUAGGUCAGCGGCCAAGCGAAAGCAUUAAGCAUCCCACCUGGGGAGUACGCCGGCAACGGUGAAACUCAAAGGAAUUGACGGGGGCCCGCACAAGCGGAGGAACAUGUGGUCCAAUUCAAUGAUACGCGAGGAACCUUACCCGGGCUUGAAUUGCAGAGGAAGGAUUUGGAGACAAUGACGCCCUUCGGGGCCUCUGUGAAGGUGCUGCAUGGUUGUCGUCAGCUCGUGCCGUGAGGUGUCGGCUUAAGUGCCAUAACGAGCGCAACCCCUCUCCUUAGUUGCCAUCAGGUUAAGCUGGGCACUCUGGGGACACUGCCACCGUAAGGUGUGAGGAAGGUGGGGAUGACGUCAAAUCAGCACGGCCCUUACGUCCGGGGCUACACACGUGUUACAAUGGCAGGUACAGAGAGACGGUCCCUUGCAAAACGGAUCAAAUCCUUAAAGCCUGUCUCAGUUCGGACUGGGGUCUGCAACCCGACCCCACGAAGCUGGAUUCGCUAGUAAUCGCGCAUCAGCCAUGGCGCGGUGAAUACGUUCCCGGGCCUUGUACACACCGCCCGUCAAGCCAUGAAAGCCGGGGGCGCCUAAAGUCCGUGACCGUAAGGAGCGGCCUAGGGCGAAACUGGUAAUUGGGGCUAAGUCGGAACAAGGUA
rnacentral:rRNA from 1 species